UCCUAGUCAGGGUCACGGAGGUCCAGGGCCUAUCCCACAAUCACUGAGCGCAAGGCUAAAGAGGGGGUGCCAGUCCAUUGCAGGCCGGAUGACUGGGACAUCAUACACAUCAAGGACACUUCAGAGAAAUGGAAUUUUCAAUUAACACAGGGUCAGAAUCUUGAUCAAGAGGAUUACAACAGGAACAGGGAUUCAAACCUGAGUCCUUCAGCUGCAAG